rnacentral:rRNA from 1 species
CCAAUAGCGUAUAUUAAAGUUGUUGCAGUUAAAAAGCUCGUAGUUGAAUUUCGGAAUCUGUCCGUCGGUCGGGCUUCACUGUCCGUACUGGUGUGAUGGGUUUCUACCUUCUGAAUAACCGGCAUGUCAUUAAUUUGGUGCGCCGGGGAAGCAGAACUAUUACCUUGAAAAAAUUAGAGUGCUUAAAGCAGGCUAUCGCCUGAAUAGAUUAGCAUGGAAUAAUAAAAUAGGACGGCAUGGUUCUAUUUUGUUGGUUUCUAGGAUCACCGUAAUGAUUAAUAGGGAUAGUUGGGGGCAUUAGUAUUCAAUUGUCAGAGGUGAAAUUCUUGGAUUUAUUGAAGACUAACUUCUGCGAAAGCAUUUGCCAAGGAUGUUUUCAUUAAUCAAGAACGAAAGUUAGGGGAUCGAAGACGAUCAGAUACCGUCGUAGUCUUAACCAUAAACUAUGCCGACUAGGGAUCGGACGAUGUUAAUUUUUUAAUGACUCGUUCGGCGCCUUACG